rnacentral:lncRNA from 1 species
UCAUCACUUGCCAUUGUCUACCACCACACCUUGGCUCAUGUUCCACAGCACUCACCUCUCUUAAGGAAUUCACGUAAGUGCUGAGAAGUAAUGGAACCUGGACUCUCCACUUUUGAGGCAGGGCUGACAGCUGAGCGUGGACGUGGAUGGUGGGGAAAACACAGCUAUGACAGCCUUCCCCACAGUUUAAGGUAUCAACAAAUUUAAUUCUCACUCCACAGGAAGACUCCAGAAGACUAAAAAAAUCUCACUUUGACAGCUUUCAGAUGCCUCCAGUCCCUGCUUCACCCUAUUCAGAUGCACAGAGAUCUUGUGUUGCCCCUGAAGAUACUCUCACUCAGCCUUCCCUCUGUCUGCAGAGAUGGCUUUGACAGCCCCACACCUACAAUCUCCAGCUUCUCUUCUGAGCUGUGCUCAGGGUUCUGCUGCUCUUGGGACCCAGCCUGGUAGCAUGACCCCCACUUCCCCAGCUCCCGCAGUCCUCCCAGCCUGUGAGUCACCAUCGAUUCUUCCAGAGAGGAGUCACUCUCAUCAAAUUUGAAACCUCGUGACACUCUAUACCCAGCAUCUGGCUCACCAAUCAUUUCCGGCUAGUGGGAAAGGUCCUGAUGGUUCAAGGUUGAAAUGUGAUUUUAAUAAAAAUAAUGCUAAAAUGAGAUUCGUGAGGAGUGCAUUCUUUAGCUUAUGGGAGUUGAGCAAAUAUUUGUGGCAUCUAAAUAUUCGCAGCCUGACAUUUGGAGACAUGAACGCUUCCAAAUCUCGUGGAGCAACUGAUCUUGUUUUAUUGCGCUGGCUCCCUCAUUGCCAUAGCCUUGACCUUGCCAGGUGGGGCAAGGGUGCAGAGAACGGUCCGCACUAAGGCCUGGCAUGCGUCAGCAAUGUGCUAGGUACACCACGGGCUUUGCCUCAUUAAAUUUCCAGGCAUUUUUUCCCAAGAAAGCAGUAGUUCCUUUUUGCAUGUGAGGAAAUUGAGACUCAAAGACCUGGGUCACAGGUCAAAGUUCAUACUGCUAUUUGGUAGCCAAGAAGGAAUUCAAAUCCUGGUCCCAGCCUAAACUCUUUAAUUUUUCCUAUGAAACCGCAUGUCUCUCUUUACAUGCUUGCCUGUGCUUUUGAUUACUUUGGGAUAUAUUCUAGAAAUGCUGAGCAGAACCACGAGGGAGGGGUUUAGGGUCAAGAAGCAGCUCACCAGCCACAAGCAUCACUUUUCUCUGGGCUAGGACUAGAUUCUGUAAGUAAAUACCCAAGUGAAAGAGAAUGCUUUUCUUGGAAAAUGUUGGUAACUUGAUGCAUGUAAACAAACUCUUUUGUAAGAGCCUCUGUCACAUGGGGGCCUGCGGGCAAAUUCUACCAAGCAGAGAACAGUUUUCACUGCAAAAACUCAAAGGAAGACAAGCUUGGUAAUGAGAGCUAGCAUUUAUUGACCGCUUACUAGUGCCACGCAUUAUGCGGGUACUUGUGAGACAUAAUUUACUCUUCCCUGCAACCCUUUAGAUAUUAGCAUGUCCCCCAUUGAAUAGAUCAGGAAACUGAGGCACCAGACACAUAGAAAGAAAGAGGCAGAGAAGGAAGACAAAGCAGGCAGUCUGGUUUCAAAAGCUCAGCUCCUGAUCAAUAAACUCUACUCUCCCCUGGUCCUUUUAAAGAGGGAGCUUUUACUACCUGUCCUGUUAAUGUUGGGGAUUCCCAACCCAAUGAAGGCCUUCCCUGUUAGCAGUUAAUCAUUCAGUAUAUGACUAUAUCACUUUGCUAGGGAUGUCAUACAGAGUUUC